UACGUAGGGUGCAAGCGUUAAUCGGAAUCACUGGGCGUAAAGCGUGCGUAGGUGGAUGUUUAAGUGUGAUGUUAAAUCGUGGGGCUCAACCCUGUCGGUGCAUCGCAUACUGGACGUCUAGAGGACAGCGGAGGCAAGUGGAAUUUGUAGUGUAGCAGUGAAAUGCGUAGAUAUUACAAGGAACACCAAUGGCGAAGGCAGCUUGCUGGGCUACUCCUGACACUGAGGUACGAAAGCGUGGGGAGCGAACAGG
rnacentral:rRNA from 1 species